CACGCUGUAAACGAUGUCUACUAGAUCCGUGUUCUCCUUUUGGGGGAUGCGAGUCGCAGCUAACGCAUUAAGUAGACCGCCUGGGAAUUACGGCCGCAAGGCUAAAACUCAAAGGAAUUGACGGGGACCCGCACAAGCGGUGGAGCACCUGCUUUAAUUCGAUGAUAACCGAAGAACCUUACCAAGGUUUGACAUGCUACUGCAAAUCCCGUGAAAACGGGACGUCCUUCGAGGGUGUAGCACAGGUAU
rnacentral:rRNA from 1 species